rnacentral:rRNA from 1 species
UACGGGGGGAGCAAGCGUUGUUCGGAUUUACUGGGCGUAAAGGGCGCGUAGGCGGCCACCGCAAGUCAGUUGGGAAAUCUCUGGGCUUAACCCAGAACGGUCAGCUGAUACUGCGGGGCUAGAGUGCAGAAGGGGCAACUGGAAUUCUCGGUGUAGCGGUGAAAUGCGUAGAUAUCGAGAGGAACACCUGCGGCGAAGGCGGGUUGCUGGGCUGACACUGACGCUGACAGCGCGAAAGCUAGGGGAGCGAACGGG